rnacentral:siRNA from 1 species
CUAUAGUCAAAGUCGUUGUAGC